rnacentral:rRNA from 1 species
CCUACGGGAGGCAGCAGUAGGGAAUUUUCCACAAUGGACGAAAGUCUGAUGGAGCAACGCCGCGUGCAGGAUGAAACCCUUCGGGGCGUAAACUGCUUUUAUAUGUGACGAAUAUGACGGUAGCAUAUGAAUAAGGAUCGGCUAACUCCGUGCCAGCAGCCGCGGUAAUAAUCACUA